UACGUAGGGGGCAAGCGUUGUCCGGAUUCAUUGGGCGUAAAGAGCGUGUAGGCGGCCAGGUAGGUCGGUUGUGAAAACUGGAGGCUCAACCUUCAGAGGUCGACCGAAACCAUCUGGCUAGAGUCCGGGAGAGGAGAGUGGAAUUCCUGGUGUAGCGGUGAAAUGCGCAGAUAUCAGGAGGAACACCGGUGGCGAAGGCGGUUCUCUGGGAAUGUCCUGACGCUGAGGAGCGAAAGUGUGGGGAGCGAACAGG
rnacentral:rRNA from 1 species